rnacentral:rRNA from 1 species
UAGGGAAUCUUCGGCAAUGGACGAAAGUCUGACCGAGCAACGCCGCGUGAGCGAAUAAGGUUUUCGGAUCGUAAAACUCUGUUGUUAGAGAAGAACAAGGACGUUAGUAACUGAACGUCCCCUGACGGUAUCUAACCAGAAAGCCACGGCUAACUACGUGCUAGCAGCCGCGGUAAUACGUAGGUGGCAAGCGUUGUCCGGAUUUAUUGGGCGUAAAGCGAGCGCAGGCGGUUUCUUAAGUCUGAUGUGAAAGCCCCCGGCUCAACCGGGGAGGGUCAUUGGAGACUGGGAGACUUGAGUGCAGAAGAGGAGAGUGGAAUUCCAUGUGUAGCGGUGAAAUGCGUAGAUAUAUGGAGGAACACCAGUGGCGAGGGCGGCUCUCUGGUCUGUAACUGACGCUGAGGCUCGAAAGCGUGGGGAGCAAACAGG